GCCCUGGUAACGAAUUGGUAUCGUGCUCAUAUUGUCAUUGUUAGAGCGUGGGUUCGAUUCCCACCAGAGGCC
rnacentral:tRNA from 1 species